UUAAAAGCUUCAGAGUCCACAAAUGGAUGUGCCUCUGCUGAUUCGGGCUUCAGUUCAGUCCCUUUAUGCCUGCCUCAUAUACCCUUCAAUCCUGGGAAGGUGGCUCCUGGUGGCUUGAACGGAAUGUGCAUCUCAAAAGAAGGCUGCAGGCUGCUACCACCUGAAAAAGAAGAGCUACCUGGGAAGG